CCUACGGGAGGCAGCAGUAGGGAAUAUUGCUCAAUGGGGGAAACCCUGAAGCAGCAACGCCGCGUGGAGGAUGAAGGUUUUCGGAUUGUAAACUCCUUUUGUUAGAGAAGAUAAUUACGGUAUCUAACGAAUACUCACCGGCUAACUCCGUGCCAGCCGCCGCGGUAAUACGGGGGGUGCCAGCGUUACCCGGAAACACUGGGCGUAAAGCGCGCGUAGGCGGGAUAGCAAGUCAGAUGUGAAAUCUUAUGGCUUAACCAUAGAACUGAAUUUGAAAGUGUUAGUCUAGAGUAUGGGAGAGGUAGGUGGAAUUCGUGGUGUAGGGGUAAAAUCCGUAGAGAUCAAGAGGAACACUCAGUGCGAAGGCGACCUGCUAGAACAUAACUGACGCUGAUGCGCGAAAGCGUGGGUAGCAAACAGGAUUAGAUACCCCUGUAGUC
rnacentral:rRNA from 1 species